rnacentral:rRNA from 1 species
UGCCAGCAGCCGCGGUUAAACCGGUAGGACGAGUUAUUCACAACGGUAAAAUAGUGAAGGGAAAUCUUAUGCUAUCAAAACAGUAUUAUGAGGUAAAAUUUGAAUACGUCUUAAAUCCUAAGAAGCUCUUACCAAAGCUAUGAAAUCCUUGAGGGAAACUGGGAUUAGAUACCCCACUAUUCUAGGAUAUAAAAAUUACCAGGGUACUACGAGCAAUGUUUAAAACCCAAAGAGCUUGGCGGUGUCUUAGACCCACCAGGGGAACCUGUCCCAUAAUCGAUGAUCCACGUUACACCUGACCCGAUUUACUUGCUUGUAUACCGUCGUCUCGGUAACUUCCAAAAAAAAGAAAGUUAGCUUUAAACAUCUAAAUGUUAGACGUCAGAUCAAGGUGCAGCUUAUAAUAGGGGGAGGAUGGGUUACAAUUAUUCACUUAUAGCGAACGAAGGGUUGAAAAAUCCUUCUAAAGGCGGACUUGGAAGUAAAAAUGCUAAGAUAAGCAUUUUGAAUAAGGCUCUGAGAUGUGUACUAACCGCCCGUCGCUC